rnacentral:lncRNA from 1 species
GAUUUGCCGUGUCUCGUGGCAAGCAAUAUGUGGAUCUCCUGUCGAUCGGUCCCCCGUCAACUGUUUCUCCGAAGACAGUUUUGUGGUGUUCGAUGUAUUCCAGCACCUGAACAGGUCUGCUAGUAUUGAUUAGUUCGAAAAUAAAUUGCGACCAAGGUAACUAUGACUACGAAGGUGGUAAUUGGUCCAAUAAUGAGACACGUGGCCCUGGAAAAGACAGGGUAGCAGGUGUUAUGAGAGUAGCCAGGAAAGUAGCGGGUGUGCUUAGGUAAGCUUUGAGUCACCACACUUUGCUGAUGUCGCCAUCAAAUUAAUUUUCAUCUUGUUUCUCCAGAACACAUGUCGCCGCAACUUGUAUAACGAUCCAGAAGCUGACAUCGAACCGGCUCCUGCAACUAAGGAAACUAGAUGGCUUUCAUGGUGGGUGUCCAACAUAAUACUUGGACUGAUUUCAAGAGUAAUCUUACUUUUGGUCCAUAUCAUU